rnacentral:sRNA from 2 species
ACUCAACGCUAUAUAAUUAAAAAUGGUGAGUCUUUAAUGCUAAAUCGUGCUGAUGUUCUCAGAUUUUUGAUCAUUAAGUUAGCCAUAAACUUGUUUUUUUGGAGUUU